AUCCUCCAGAUUCCUUACCCCUCAGAUCGAUUGGUCUGAGUGGCUACACAAGAGGAAAAGUAAAACUGAAGUAAACUUGGAUUCUUUAGUGUUUUAAAAGUUCAUUUCCAACAAAU
rnacentral:snoRNA from 1 species